ACCCGUCGUCGGUCAGCGGCCAUCAACAUCCGGGCGCGACGGUCCACCAGCAGAAAGAUGAUGGCUCUCUGAAACCUCCAGUGACGAACUCAACCCAGGAAUGCUCAGAGCCCGUCAGGACCCAGGAUGACCUGAACACCAAGGGGCCUUCCUUUUCCCCUGGGGAAGACCCCAGCAGACAAUUUGGGGGAGAGCCAGUUUCUUUGGCAACUGGAAGUGAUGAAGAACCCCAGAGCCCUCCCAAUCUGACAUGGUGGCACGUUCCGCAUCACCCCAAGGACUCCGGAGCAGCAGUGAAAAGGAUGUGCUACGGAAACCUAAUGUUGCGUUGACAUAAUGAAGCGUUUGGAGGAAUCUCACGUUUCUCAAUCAGAGAACCAGCCAGUCUCAUCCGGAAUGUUCUAAGCUGCCUGCCACUUCCCACCCCCGCCCCCAUCCACUGCUUCCCCCUCCCUCAGUAUAGCUCUUCCUCAAACAUUUCAGAGACUGGCUGUUACGUGCUCAUACGCGUUCACAUAAAACAAGACU